CUACUCAUAAUGACGAGCCACGUUAGUUCGGUCGGUUAUAAGAAGCUCCCUUGCUUGAUUGAGUUUAUUAAUAUGAGAGUACUAUAAGAUAAUUUCAUUACGUUUCGUAAUAACUGCACAUCUACUCUUAUGACGAGCCACUUCAGUUCCGUCGGUUACAAGUUAAAUGAUUGUUGGAAUUUUUCAAGCUGUAAGGACAUGAUUGAUGCUUUCCAACUGUAAGAAAAUCUGCUAGCGUGCUUUCUUCCCAAACCCUAAGAACCUCCGAAUGUCCGGCUCCGACUGGACGCGUCCGACGGCGAUUCCUCGCCCCAACUCCGAUAUAUUCUUCUCCCUCCUUCCUCUAUCUUUAACAGCCCCUCAAUUUCUACCCCUAAAUCCGACUCCGUCACCUUGCCCCUCCACCUGCCCCUAUCGCCGGCUCACUACCCCGAUUCUCCACCACACCGUUUCUAUACUGCUAAUUUCCACCAAUCCAUCGUUCAUCCACUGCCAGGACAGAUUGACAGUAGUUGCUCUUCCAUCAACGAUCUUGCUGCAGAUCCAUUCCACCACCAACCCUCCACCAUUUUAGUUGAUCGCCUCCUGAUCUCCCAAUGAUUUGUCUCGACUCGGAUACAUAUCGUGGCCACUCGCCCCGGCCCGGGCGAAACCUCUGUUAUCUUCUUUGGUCACCGCCCCUUGUUUACCACCAAGAAAAGCUCUGGUUACCUGGACGAUCACCAUCAACGAUUUACCAACGGAGUCCGAUGGUACACACAUGUUUGAUGUUUUGUCCACUACCCUAGUGUCCACACCGAGGUGUCAUCGAUUUGGUUAGUUCGUGGAUAGUUAUUAUGUUCUAUAUUGCAUCGGGUCAGAUAUGUUUGGAAUCUAGUGGUGUGAUUCCUUGAUGUUUUUCAUGUUGUUUUAUGGUGUCAGUUUGUUUAAUAAGGCUAUAUAUGGAUCAAUAUGUGGUCUAUCAACCUCCUUCGGUCGAUAGUAAUGUCUUCGUUGGCUCCUUGGCUAGCUUAUGGCUGGCAGUGUUUUUGGCAGGCUCCAUGGCCGGCAGUGUCGGGCUGGCUUCGUGGUCAGCAGGGUAUUUAGCCAGGACUAAAAUCAGCAGUCUGGGGGGUCGUGAUGGCUAGUGGCUCAGUCGACGCCUCAAUGUAAAUUAAGUUCUCUCUUAAUAAUGUUUGCCAUUCCGACCCCAAAAAAAAUGGUUUUUUUU